AUUGAACGCUGGCGGCAGGCCUAACACAUGCAAGUCGAACGAGUGGCGGACGGGUGAGUAAUGUCUGGGAAACUGCCUGAUGGAGGGGGAUAACUACUGGAAACGGUAGCUAAUACCGCAUACUAUCAGAUGUGCCCAGAUGGGUUUAGCUUGUUGGUGGGGUAACGGCUCACCAAGGCGACGAUCCCUAGCUGGUCUGAGAGGAUGAUCUGCAACACUGGAACUGAGACACGGUCCAGACACCUACGGGAGGCAGCAGGGGGGAAGAGUGCACAAUGGGCGAAAGCCUGAUGCAGCCAUGACGCGUGUAUGAAGAAGGCCUUCGGGUUGUAAAGUACUUUCAGCGGGGAGGCGUUACCCGAAGAAGAAGCACCGGCUAACUCCGUGCCAGCAGCCGCGGUAAUAC
rnacentral:rRNA from 1 species